ACUGAGGAUGGCCUGGAAGUCUUUCACCAGAGCUCCAUACCCUGCCUUACAAGCUUCAGAAAUGGCAGAAGACACUGAGGCAGAAUCCGAACCAAGUUCAGAAAAGCCCAGUGACGCCAACACAGAAGAGCCUCCUGUGGAGGUCAAAGAGGAGGCUCCCAUCAAUGUGGGAAUGCUGAAUGGAGGCCAGCGCAUUGACUAUGUGUUACAGGAGAAGCCCAUUGAGAGUUUUAAUGAAUAUUUAUUUGCUCUACAAAGCCAUCUAUGCUACUGGGAAUCUGAAGAUACAGUACUGCUUGUCCUCAAAGAGAUCUACCAAACCCAGGGGAUCUUCCUUGAUCAGCCUUUACAGUAAAAUGACCCAUCUGUGGCUGCUUAAUAUGGACAUUGAGGGAGCCUUUCCUGAAAACCCCCUCACUUGUUGCUGCAGCUUUCUUCUCAGCUACCGUGUGUCCUGCAUGUUGCCUGCCUUACUCCACGGGAUCUUUCAAGAUAACCCUCUUUGGAAACUAGGUGAAAGCAGAGGGAAGACUGCCUCAUAUGAACUCUCGCCAUUUUUGUAGCUAGGGACUUCCAUAUUUAAUGCUUUAGCAGCAGCCCCUCCUUGGUUAUUACAUGGAAAUGGAUAGUCUGUUAAGGGGGCUUAGAGAGCUUUAUGUCCUCUCCUUAGAAAGUGGGCCCGUUGGGGAGCUUAUGAAGAUGGAGAGGACUUAGGGGUCCAGUCGCACUGGAGGGCUAAGCAUGUGUGGAUGUGGGAUAGCUGCUAGGUUUUGAGCCAGCAUUUAUUUCUUUGCUGUGUGUGAAAACCAGAGGCUGCCCUGAGCACUCACAUAGGGACCACUGGGGCUGUUUGUGGUUGUUAUAGUUGCCUCAGCGUCUGUAACCCCAGAGGCUGUAUGGGCUGUGUGCCUGCCCUUCUACACCAUACUCCAAACCAGGGUGAAGUGCAGGGAGUGAGGUGGUAAUACUUACUUGAAGGUCACCCUGAAGUUACAUGGUCCUUCUCAGCUGUUCAUGUAGAAAAUGUGGUUUU
rnacentral:lncRNA from 1 species